UACAGAGGGUGCAAGCGUUAAUCGGAAUUACUGGGCGUAAAGCGUGCGUAGACGGUUGCAUAAGUCAGAUGUGAAAGCCCCGGGCUCAACCUGGGAAUUGCAUUUGAGACUGUGUAGCUAGGGUGCGGAAGAGGGAAGCGGAAUUUCCGGUGUAGCGGUGAAAUGCGUAGAUAUCGGGAGGAACACCAGUGGCGAAGGCGACUUCCUGGCCUGUUCUUGACGCUGAGGCGCGAAAGCUAGGGGAGCAAACGGG
rnacentral:rRNA from 1 species